AGAGUUUGAUCAUGGCUCAGGAUGAACGCUAGCUACAGGCUUAACACAUGCAAGUCGAGGGGCAGCAUGAACUUAGCUUGCUAAGUUUGAUGGCGACCGGCGCACGGGUGAGUAACACGUAUCCAACCUGCCGAUGACUCGGGGGAUAGCCUUUCGAAAGAAAGAUUAAUACCCGAUGGCAUAGUUCUUCCGCAUGGUAGAAUUAUUAAAGAAUUUCGGUCAUCGAUGGGGGAUGCGUUCCA
rnacentral:rRNA from 1 species